rnacentral:rRNA from 1 species
GACGAAGGUGGCGAGCGUUGUUCGGAAUCACUGGGCAUAAAGCGCACGUAGGCGGCGACGUAAGUUGGGUGUGAAAUCCCUCGGCCUAACCGAGGAACUGCGCCCAGUACUGCGUUGCUUGAGGAUCAAAGGGGUGCAUGGAAUUCCCGGUGGAGCGGUGAAAUGCGUUGAUAUCGGGAGGAACUCCGGCGGCGAAAGCGGUGCACUGGUUGAUUACUGACGCUGAGGUGCGAAAGCCAGGGGAGCAAACGGG